rnacentral:misc_RNA from 2 species
AGCAGCCGCGGUAAUUCCAGCUCCAAUAGCGUAUAUUAAAGUUGUUGCAGUUAAAAAGCUCGUAGUUGAACUUCAGGCCUGUCCAGAUGGUCCGCCUUAAUUGGUGUGUACUGUCCUUGGGUGGGUCCUACCUUCUGGCGAAGCGGCAUGGCCUUAGUUGGUUGUGUCGGGGAACCAGGACUUUUACUGUGAAAAAUUAGAGUGUUCAAAGCAGGCAUAUAUGCUCGAAUACAUUAGCAUGGAAUAAUGGAAUAGGACGAUGGUUCUAUUUUGUUGGUUCUAGGACCGUUGUAAUGAUUAAUAGGGAUAGUUGGGGGCAUUAGUAUUCAAUUGUCAGGGGUGAAAUUCUUGGAUUUAUUGAAGACUAACUACUGCGAAAGCAUUUGCCAAGGAUGUUUUCAUUAAUCAAGAACGAAAGUUAGGGGAUCGAAGACGAUCAAAUACCGUCGUAGUCUUAACCAUAAACUAUGCCGACUAGGAAUCGGGCGAUGUUGACAAAAUGAACUCGCUCGGCA